rnacentral:rRNA from 1 species
AGUGGAUGGGGAGCAACCUAGUUGUGCGUGUGUAAAGGUAGUGCCAAGAAAAGCGAUGAUCAUGUUGAAAAUCAAUUCCCGGUACCCGAAACCGACACAGGUGGGCAAGUAGAGAAUACUAAGGGGCGCGAGGUAACUCUCUCCAAGGAACUCGGCAAAAUGACCCCGUAACUUAGGGAGAAGGGGUGCCACCGAGAGGUGGUCGCAGUGAAGAGGCCCAGGCGACUGUUUAGCAAAAACAUAGGUCUCUGCAAACUCGAAAGAGGAGGUAUAGGGGCUGACGCCUGCCCAGUGCCGGAAGGUUAAGGAAGUUGGUCAGUUUUAGGAUGAAGCUAGCGACUGAAGCCCCGGUGAACGGCGGCCGUAACUAUAACGGUCCUAAGGUAGCGAAAUUCCUUGUCGGGUAAGUUCCGACCCGCACGAAAGGCGUAACGAUCUGGGCGCUGUCUCGGAGAGAGGCUCGGCGAAAUAGGAUUGUCUGUGAAGAUACGGACUACCUGCAUUUGGACAGAAAGACCCUAUGAAGCUUUACUAUAGCUUGGAAUUGUGUUCGGGCUUCCUGUGCGCAGGAUAGGUGGGAGGCGUAGAAGGUAUUCUUGUGGGGAUACUGGAGCCAACGGUGAGAUACCACUCUCAGGAGGCUAGAAUUCUAACUUAAUUAAGGACAGUUUCAGGUGGGUAGUUUGACUGGGGCGGUCGCCUCCAAAAAGGUAACGGAGGCGUACAAAGGUUCCCUCAGACUGGUUGGAAAUCAGUCGAAGAGUGCAAAGGCAGAAGGGAGCUUGACUGCGAGAAGUACAGUUCGAGCAGGGUGGAAACACGGUCUUAGUGAUCCGACGGUGCUGUGUGGAAGGGCCGUCGCUCAACGGAUAAAAGUUACUCUAGGAUAACAGGCUGAUCUCCCCCAAGAGUUCACAUCGACGGGGAGGUUUGGCACCUCGAUGUCGGCUCAUCGCAACCUGGGGCGGAAGUACGUCCCAAGGGUUGGGCUGUUCGCCCAUUAAAGCGGUACGUGAGCUGGGUUCAGAACGUCGUGAGACAGUUCGGUCCAUAUCCGAUGUAGGCGUGAGAAUAUUGAGAGGAGCCUUCCUUAGUACGAGAGGACCGGGAAGGACGCACCGCUGGUGUACCUGUUAUGAUGCCAAUUGUAAACGCAGGGUAGCCAAGUGCGGAGAGGAUAACCGCUGAAAGCAUCUAAGUGGGAAGCCCACCUCAAGAUGAGUAUUCUGGUGUAAGGUCACGGGAAGACGACCCGUAAAUAGGCACGAGGUGGAAGUGCAGAGAUGUAUGAAGCCGAAGUGUACUAAUAGACCGUCGGCUUGAC